rnacentral:rRNA from 1 species
CAGGCCUAACACAUGCAAGUCGGACGGUAACAUGAGGUGCUUGCACUUUGAUGACGAGUGGCGCACGGGUGCGCAACGCGUAUAGAACCUACCCUGUACAGGGGGAUAGCCCAGAGAAAUUUGGAUUAAUACCCCGUGGUAAAUAUAAAUGGCAUCAUUUAUAUUUUAAAGUUUUCGGACGGUACGGGAUGGCUAUGCGUCCUAUUAGUUAGAUGGUGAGGUAACGGCUCACCAUGGCAGCGAUAGGUAGGGGCCCUGAGAGGGGGAUCCCCCACACUGGUACUGAGACACGGACCAGACUCCUACGGGAGGCAGCAGUGAGGAAUAUUGGACAAUGGGCGCAAGCCUGAUCCAGCCAUGCCGCGUGCAGGAAGACGGCCCUAUGGGUUGUAAACUGCUUUUAUACGGGAAGAAUAAGGGACACGUGUGUCCUGGUGACGGUACCGUAAGAAUAAGGACCGGCUAACUCCGUGCCAGCAGCCGCGGUAAUACGGAGGGUCCGAGCGUUAUCCGGAAUUAUUGGGUUUAAAGGGUCCGCAGGCGGGCAAUUAAGUCAGGGGUGAAAUGGUGCGGCUCAACCGUAGCACUGCCCUUGAUACUGGUUGUCUUGAGUCAUAGUGAAGUGGCCGGAAUAUGUAGUGUAGCGGUGAAAUGCAUAGAUAUUACAUAGAACACCGAUUGCGAAGGCAGGUCACUAACUAUCGACUGACGCUGAUGGACGAAAGCGUGGGGAGCGAACGGGAUUAGAUACCCCGGUAGUCCACGCCGUAAACGAUGGAUACUAGCUGUCCGCUGCCUUGAGCAGUGGGCGGCCCAGCGAAAGUGAUAAGUAUCCCACCUGGGGGAGUACGUUCGCAAGAAUGAAACUCAAAGGAAUUGACGGGGGCCCGCACAAGCGGUGGAGCAUGUGGUUUAAUUCGAUGAUACGCGAGGAACCCUUACCAGGGCUUAAAUGCAUAAUGACAGGUCUAGAGAUAGACUUUUUCUUC